rnacentral:rRNA from 1 species
GAUGAACUCUGGCGGCGUGCUUAACACAUGCAAGUCGAACGGGAAUUACUUUAUUGAAACUUCGGUCGAUUUAAUUUAAUUCUAGUGGCGGACGGGUGAGUAACGCGUGGGUAACCUGCCUUAUACAGGGGGAUAACAGUCAGAAAUGGCUGCUAAUACCGCAUAAGCGCACAGAGCUGCAUGGCUCAGUGUGAAAAACUCCGGUGGUAUAAGAUGGACCCGCGUUGGAUUAGCUAGUUGGUGGGGUAACGGCCCACCAAGGCGACGAUCCAUAGCCGGCCUGAGAGGGUGAACGGCCACGUUGGGACUGAGACACGGCCCACACUCCUACGGGAGGCAGCAGUGGGGAAUAUUGCACGAUGGAGGGAAACCCUGAUGCACCGACGCCGCGUGAAGGAAGAAGUAUCUCGGUAUGUAAACUUCUAUCAGCAGGGAAGAUAGUGACGGUACCUGACUAAGAAGCCCCGGCUAACUACGUGCCAGCAGCCGCGGUAAUACGUAGGGGCAAGCGUUAUCCGGAUUUACUGGGUGUAAAGGGAGCGUAGACGGUGUGGCAAGUCUGAUGUGAAAGGCAUGGGCUCAACCUGUGGACUGCUUUCAAAACUGCUGGCCUUGAGUAGUGCAGAGGUAGGUGGAAUUCCCGGUGUAGCGGUGGAAUGCGUAGAUAUCGGGAGGAACACCAGUGGCGAAGGCGACCUACUGGGCACCAACUGACGCUGAGGCUCGAAAGCAUGGGUAGCAAACAGGAUUAGAUACCCUGGUAGUCCAUGCCGUAA